rnacentral:rRNA from 1 species
UACGGAGGGGGCUAGCGUUGUUCGGAAUUACUGGGCGUAAAGCGCGCGUAGGCGGCUUUGUAAGUUAGAGGUGAAAGCCCGGAGCUUAACUCCGGAACUGCCUUUAAGACUGCAUCGCUAGAAUUGUGGAGAGGUAAGUGGAAUUCCGAGUGUAGAGGUGAAAUGCGUAGAGAUGCGGAGGAACACCAGUGGCGAAAGCGACUUUCUGGUCCUUAACUGACGCUGAGGCGCGAAAGCAUGGGGAGCGAACGGG